rnacentral:rRNA from 1 species
UAGGGAAUCUUCCACAAUGGACGCAAGUCUGAUGGAGCAACGCCGCGUGAGUGAAGAAGGUUUUCGGAUCGUAAAGCUCUGUUGUAAGAGAAGAACGUGUGUAAGAGUGGAAAGUUCACACAGUGACGGUAACUUACCAGAAAGGGACGGCUAACUACGUGCCUG